rnacentral:rRNA from 1 species
AACGAACGCUGGCGGCAGGCUUAACACAUGCAAGUCGAACGCAUCCUUCGGGGUGAGUGGCAGACGGGUGAGUAACGCGUGGGAACGUGCCCUUCAGUUCGGGAUAACCCAGGGAAACUUGGGCUAAUACCGGAUACGUGCGAGAGCAGAAAGAUUUAUCGCUGAAGGAUCGGCCCGCGUCUGAUUAGCUAGUUGGUGGGGUAAGGGCCCCCCAAGGCGACGAUCAGUAGCUGGUCUGAGAGGAUGAUCAGCCACAUUGGGACUGAGACACGGCCCAAACUCCUACGGGAGGCAGCAGUGGGGAAUAUUGGACAAUGGGCGCAAGCCUGAUCCAGCCAUGCCGCGUGAGUGAUGAAGGCCUUAGGGUUGUAAAGCUCUUUCGUCCGGGACGAUAAUGACGGUACCGGAAGAAGAAGCCCCGGCUAACUUCGUGCCAGCAGCCGCGGUAA